CGCGUAGGUGGCUUUGUAAGCGGGCGGUGAAAGUCCGGGGCUCAACCCCGGAUCGGCCGUGCGGACUGCAAAGCUCGAGCACUGUAGAGGCAGGUGGAAUUCCGGGUGUAGCGGUGGAAUGCGUAGAGAUCCGGAGGAACACCAGUGGCGAAGGCGGCCUGCUGGGCAGUGGCUGACACUGAGGCGCGACAGCGUGGGAGCAAACA
rnacentral:rRNA from 1 species